UGGCGGACGGGUGAGUAACGCGUGGGUAACCUGCCUUAUACCGGGGGAUAACAGCCAGAAAUGACUGCUAAUACCGCAUAAGCGCACAGAACCGCAUGGUUCCGUGUGAAAAACUCCGGUGGUAUAAGAUGGACCCGCGUUGGAUUAGCUAGUUGGCAGGGCAGCGGCCUACCAAGGCGACGAUCCAUAGCCGGCCUGAGAGGGUGAACGGCCACAUUGGGACUGAGACACGGCCCAGACUCCUACGGGAGGCAGCAUG
rnacentral:rRNA from 1 species